ACCCGCCUGUCGGUUCUUGCAGCGCCGCAUGAAGUUGAACAAGCUUAAUGAAUUGUCCCUUCCGGCUUUCCAUCCCAGAACUGUCCUGUUUCUAUAGAAACAGAGACGCGACUGCUCGGCCACAAUCCAACAACUAAAAGCCUCAAAUAGGUAUAAGUGAUGCAGUCUGAUGUGCAAUGUUUUGUUGAGCGGUUCACUGUAAUUUGCAACAAGUCACUGUCCCACGUGCAGCUGGCCUGCUGCUCUUCUCAUUGUGCUGUACCAUGGCUGGACAAGAAUGUAAGGGUCUACACCACCAACAACCUGAAGCAUCCCUUGGAACUCACUGGUCACUAUGGUGAAGUCUCUGCUAUGGUGUUUGGAACGAUGAAAGAUCGUCUCAUUCUCUGUAGUGCUUCAGAAGAUUAUGUGAUUCUCUGGGACAUUGAUCAAUGCUACAGACAAGUCAGAGAGGGUGCAAUUGCCUCAGGCAGAGUGGUUGGCACAUUGCUAGGAAGAGUUGGGCAUUUGUCCCUGUGUCCACAGACUACAAAAAUAGCAGCAUGUUCGGGCUCUAAAGUGUUUGUUUUGAAUGCAGAGAGAGAGGAGGUGCUCGCUGUGUUGAAGGCUCAUCUUGGUCCUGUGACCGCCUCAGAGUUCUGUCCAUGGGACUUAAAUCUUCUCAUCUCAGUCUCAGAAGAUCGAACAUUUAAGGUAUGGGAUGUAAUGAAGGGCGAAAUACUCUUUCAGUCUGCAGUACUAUCAGCAUCUCCACUGCUUAGUCUGUUCUUCAUGGAGCAAAACAGACAGCUCAUCACAGGGUCUGGUGAUGGACAGCUUUGGUGUUACACUCUCCCUGUGGAUCACAAAUGUCGCUUGGCGACAAAACUGGACCUUCAAAAACUCGAACAGAAGCAUCAGAAAAAACUCAGAAAUAUCAACGCAGUUCCAAAUGGAACAUACGGUAUAACUCAAAAUGAUGUGAGAGGAACAGUGGAGACAGUAAAGCCAGUUCUGAGAAUCUGGGCUCAGAGACCAAUGUGUGGCCACGCUAGCAUACAGCAGAGAGGAAGUUAUGUAUGGAUUGGAAGUUCUGAUGGGCUGUAUAUGCUUGACCUGGAUACGUCAGAGCUCCUCAUUACUCUUCCAUUCAAAGGUGACCUGAGUAUCUCAAUGGCAGGGUCGUGGGCCAUCUCCCAUGGACAUGGUGACAAUAUGUUUUGUUUGGUGACCUCUCUAUUUGAGCCUUCAGUUGUCCUGUUGGAGGUCAAUAGUGCUGGACUAGAUGAGCUCUGCUUCAGUCUGGUGGAAGAGCAACUUUCAGUGGUUCCCAGCUCCCCUCUGAUGCCUGCAUCUCCUCUAAAUGCUGAGCAGACGAAACAAGGCCCAAAACCUCAGGGAAAAACAGGUGUGAGCUGUCAGAAGAACGUGAAGGAUCAGGCACUGGUUUUUCACACGCAAGUGAAAUCAUCAGGAUACAGUACAGCUCCUCAUAGGACAAUGUUUAAACCACAGACCAACGUAAAGAAGAAAAGUAGCACUUCCACCAAAACUAAAACGAAAAAGAAAAGCCUCUUAAGUGAGUAUCCAUCACAAUCUUCAGCCCCAAGUAUAUGUACAACUCACCUGGCUGUUUCCACAACCCCAACAACAGUCAACUCUCUACAGUACUCGGGGGAUGGAAAGCAGAUUUUGUGUGGUCUUGGAGACAGUUCUGUUUUGUUGUACGAGUCUUCACUUACCAAAGAUCCAGCUGUCUACACAGGGCACAGUAAGAGCGUUAACUGUGUGAGUUGGAGUCAUAGUAAGCAGUGGUUUUUAAGUUCUUCUGAGGACACCGCCCUGUGCAUCUGGACUGAAAGCGUUGCCGAACCUGUUCUGACCAUGGGAUGUGACCAGUUUGCAAAGUCCAUCAGAAGUGCUCAGUUUUACUAUCUUGAUAAGUUUUUACUGCUGGCAUCGGGAUCAAAUAUACUCCUGUACCUGUACCAUCUGGACACCACCAGAGAUGACAUUAAAAGGUAUAAGCAAAGAAGCAAGUCCAAGCUGACAGGAACAUUUUGUAUGACGACCGGAACAAACAUUACCUCAGUAUCAGCGAUCAAUGACUUCUAUUCCUAUAUUGUUUUGGCUGCUGGCGCUGACCGCACCAUACAGGUCUUUGAUAUGAACCACGGCCACGUUGCUACUCAGAUCCCGGACGCCCAUUCUCGACCUGUCCACCACCUCGCCCAAAACAAGGGGUCCCUGUUCUGUUCACAGACCCCAGAAUCAUACAAUCUUUUCCUUAGCAGCGCUAUAACAGAUGGUUUAAAAAUGUGGGACCUGCGCACCACAAGAUGUGUCCGUCGCUACGAGAGUCACGUCAAUCGUUGUCAUCAGUGCACUGCUGCCUUCUCACCCUGCGGUCGCUUCAUAGCCACUGGCUCCGAGGACCAAUCUGCUUAUAUAUAUGACACACGCAGCAGCGGCUUUCUCCAUAAGCUCCAGAGACACUCUGAUACAGUCUUAAAUGUCACUUUCAAUCCUGCUAAUCCAGAGGAAGCCCAUCUUCCUUUCACCGUAAACUAGAUCCACAGAAAAAGCUUCAACAGGAGGUUUCAAGCAGUGAAUCAAAGAUUCAGUGGGGAGAUCACAGCACGAGUCUUCACACCCCUCACCCUGCCCAGCGUAUCCUCACCUCGCUGUUGACUGGAACACUAAAUGGAAAACUGGCUUUGUUUCAUCCGACCGACUCCUUGCUUCUCCCUUAAGAGUGGGAUGCAACCCAGACGGCUUAGUACUCAGUUUCUCAGGUCCAGCCCUAGUGCAGACUCAGCCUAAUUUAACAUCAGCGCUAUUACUGUACUGACAUGCCACCUCUGUGGGAACUACAUCAUGACCAGGAUCUCUGAUUUCAUCAUUACAGCCACCAGUGAAAACCUACAGAUCUGACAACAUGCUCACACCCUGAAUCGCCGAGCCAAAUACGCACCCACGCAGAAAAGGCUAUUUGAACUUCACAUGCUAUUGCAACAAGUUUGCAUGCUGACAAAGACAAUCUGUUAAUUUGCACCAAACACAUGCAUAUAUAUUUUAUAAUUGUUUAUGUUUAUUGCACAUGAAUAUAUGCUACCACUUGUUUUUGUGUGACAAAUAAAGCCGCAUUGUAGUAA